rnacentral:rRNA from 1 species
AAGAGACAGCAGUAGCCACGGUAAUACAGAGGGUGCAAGCGUUAAUCGGAAUUACUGGGCGUAAAGCGCGCGUAGGUGGUUUGUUAAGUUGGAUGUGAAAGCCCCGGGCUCAACCUGGGAACUGCAUCCAAAACUGGCAAGCUAGAGUACGGUAGAGGGUGGUGGAAUUUCCUGUGUAGCGGUGAAAUGCGUAGAUAUAGGAAGGAACACCAGUGGCGAAGGCGACCACCUGGACUGAUACUGACACUGAGGUGCGAAAGCGUGGGGAGCAAACAGGAUUAGAUACCCGCGUAGUCCCUGUCUCUUAUAC